GGGGAGCAAACAGGAUUAGAUACCCUGGUAGUCCACGCUGUAAACGAUGAGUACUCGUUGUAGGGGGUUACCCCCUUCGGUGCCGCAGCUAACGCACUAAGUACUCCGACUUGGAAGUACGCUCUCACGAGUGAAACUCAAAGCAAUUGACGUGGACCCGCACAAGUAGCGGAGCAUGUGGUUUAAUUCGAAGCAACGCGAAG
rnacentral:rRNA from 1 species